rnacentral:rRNA from 1 species
UGGAUUAGCGGCGGACGGGUGAGUAACACGUGAGUAACCUGCCUUAGACAUUGGGACAGCCUCGGGAAACCGGGAUUAAUACCAAAUAAAAUCAUAAUGACACAUGUCAUAACGAUCAAAACUCCGGUGGUCUAAGAUGGACUCGCGUCCCAUUAGCUAGUUGGUAGAGUAAAAGCCUACCAAGGCGACGAUGGGUAGCCGGCCUGAGAGGGUGAACGGCCACAUUGGAACUGAGAAACGGUCCAA